GGUACUUGAUGUCCCUGCGGAGACCCUCGGGGAGGUUUCUGAUCAUCUCACACUCGUCGACGCCGCGCAUGGCCGCCCACCUCUGCCGCUCAUAGUUGCGGACUCGCUGCCUGAAUCCCUGAGGUAAGUGUCUCUUUCUCAUCCACCACUCUAUGUUUCUCAUUUUCAGCUGCAUUGCUUGCUUUUUUGAUGUUGUUGCGUGCAAAAACACCUUCACAUUUACAAGUUAAAAGGGUCUCAUCAGAUCAGUCCUCACUCAUCAUUUUCACACACACACACACACACACACUAUAUAUAUAUAUAUAUAUGAACGUUCAUGAUUAGAGAUAUAUAAGAGCAGAAACUAUGGAUUACUACUAAUUAUUCUAAUUCAUUUUCCCAGUAAUAAUAAAAACACUGAUUGUUAAUGAUAGUGUGGGGUAAUGGGCCUUAGUCAAACCCAACAUUUAUUGUAGCUAGCCAGGGAUCUUACAACACCCUUUUUACUUUUUAAAAGUUUUUUAUUUUUAAAUCUGUUACCAAACAAAAUCUUAGUGUGGUGUAUAUAUACAUAUACAUGUACCUUAAUAUUUCCUAUCAACAUGGUGACCAGAAGGAGUCCGCUGGUUAGAACAAUAAUAUUAAAAACUACUUCUAGCCAUUCUGUUGUGCUCUCCAAGUUCCCAAAAGUACUGCAAUAAAAAUAAAUAAAGACAAAAAUCAACUAUAAUAAUAAUAAUUAAAUUCAAAAUUUUUAAAAUAAAAAUUUAUAUAUCUAAAUGUCAUAUAAUAAUAAUAAUAAUAAUAAUAAUAUGAUCAAUUCUAUUAAUAAAGAAAUUUAUAUAAUUAAGUUCCUAAUGAUGAAAUAUUAAAUGACCAGUAAAAUUUGAGGCAAUAAUUCCAUGAGUACGAAUAAAAAUAGCAAUUAUUUUGGUAAAUCUAAACCAGUCUAGUUUGUAAUAAUUAUGGAGAGAAAGCGUGGUAAGAAUACUAUAGCAAAUAAUAUAUAUCAGUACAAUGAUUUAAAAGAAAGAUGAUUUCAGUGCAGAUAUAAGAAGCCAUGCACGUAGGCCAGGCCUAUAUAUACAUAUCAGGAAACCGCCUAUACAUAUGUUUAUAUGCAUCGGCAGCUUUUACGAAAUGACUAAACCUUUUCCAUUAUACGGUGAAGAAAACAAACACUAAAUCUCAAAAACAUAUUUAUACAUGGUUUUAUGAAAAGAUUCGUCUUGUAUAUGAAGAGAAAGAUUCGUCUUAUAGAUACAUGUGUUUGUGUGAGUCUAUAUAUAUAUAUAUAUAUAUAUAUAUAUAUGAAGAGAAAGGGAUCUAUAUAUAUAUAUAUAAUAGAGAGAGAGAGAGAGAGAGAGAGAGAGAGAGGGAGACAGAGAAGGGGGGGUACCUGAGAGUCAUUAGUCCCCAGAAGAUGGGGAAGAGGAUUUUCUCCAAGCGGCUAUCAUUAGUGACAAGUUGAACAGUCCAUUUAUAAGCUCCAUAAUCAUAAUUAUCAGAGGACUGAAUGCAAGUAGUUCUGGCUUGUUUGUUCUCUGCCCAUGCCAGUCUUUCUCUAUCCCUCAUCAGCAUACUUGUAGUUCCAUAGUAAAUGGGUUCUUUACAAGACAAUAAUCUCAGCUCACACCCGCCUCUAAUGUCCAUUCUGCAUUGCUCUCUUAAGCACUUUGCAGCCCUUUGAAUCCCCAGCAGGUACCAACAUGCUCCUGCUGCCUGCACACCCACAUACAUGUAUACGUAAAUUACUAUUUUCAACAGAAUCUUGAGCCAAGAAUAAAUAGUAUUUGAGAUCCUACAGAUUUCAGUACUCUUUCUCCUUCAACAAUUUUCCCUUAAUUACUGAUGAUAAUAAUACUUUUGCCGGCCAUUUUCUAGAAAACUUUUUUCCAUACAUUAAGAAACCUGAAACACGUGGUUCUUAAUGUUUGGAAAUGAAUAAUUCAAGAUAAUUUUAAGAAAUAUUAAAUUUAACCAAUAUUUAAACCACAAGAUAAUGUAUUAUAAAAAAAUUUAUAGAAUUCAAUCUCUGUUAAAAUGUCCCUCAUAAACCCAGCAGAUAAAGUACAUUACACAGUAGGAAUUAGCGACUUAUCCAUUCAGUGACUUUAGCGCUGAAUGUUUCCAAAACAAAAUUAGUAUUAUCGAGUCGAAAUUAAAAUUUAUGCUAUUUUUAAAGCAAAUGUAGUGUAAGAGCAAUUAACUUACAUGUGAUGCGACGAAAUAAGCAAUCAUGUUAAGGGCAAUUCCCCACCAAACAGUUCCAAAGAUGUAGCCGGAGAGAUUUUGCAUGCGUCGGAGAAGACAAACGGAGUGAUAAAUUUUCGGAAGAUAUUGAAACAGAAACAUAAUUAAGAGUACUGUCAUCACAAGGGUUACCGAUCCUUUUUCGAGC
rnacentral:lncRNA from 1 species